GACGAAGUGGCGGACGGGUGAGUAAUGUCUGGGRAACNUGCCCGAUAGAGGGGGAGUAACUCACUGGAAACGGUAGCUAAUACCGCAUAACCUCGURAGAUGGCAAAGUGGGGGACCUUCGGGCCUCACGCUAUCGGAUGUGCCCAGAUGGGAUUAGCUAGUAGGUGGGGUAAUGGCUCACCUAGGCGACGAUCCCUAGCUGGUCUGAGAGGAUGACCAGCCACACUGGAACUGAGACACGGUCCAGACUCCUACGGGAGGCAGCAGUGGGGAAUAUUGCACAAUGGGCGCAAGCCUGAUGCAGCCAUGCCGCGUGUAUGAAGAAGGCCUUCGGGUUGUAAAGUACUUUCAGCGGGGAGGAAGGCGAUGAGGUUAAUAACCUCGUCGAUUGACGUUACCCGCAGAAGAAGCACCGGCUAACUCCGUGCCAGCAGCCGCGGUAAUACGGAGGGUGCAAGCGUUAAUCGGAAUUACUGGGCGUAAAGCGCACGCAGGCGGUCUGUCAAGUCAGAUGUGAAAUCCCCGGGCUUAACCUGGGAACUGCAUUUGAAACUGGCAGGCUAGAGUCUUGUAGAGGGGGGUAGAAUUCCAGGUGUAGCGGUGAAAUGCGUAGAGAUCUGGAGGAAUACCGGUGGCGAA
rnacentral:rRNA from 1 species